AGAGUUUGAUCCUGGCUCAGAACGAACGUUGGCGGCGUGCUUAACACAUGCAAGUCGAGCGAGAAAGCCCCCGCAAGGGGGUGAGUAAAGCGGCGCACGGGUGAGUAACACGUGGGUGACGUACCCUCCGUUGGGGGAUAACACCUCGCAAGGGGUGCUAAUACCGCGUACGACCCUGCAAUCAAGGUUGCGGGGUGAUAGGAGCAAUCCGGCGGAGGAUCGGCCCGCGGCCCAUCAGCUAGUUGGCGGGGUAAUGGCCCACCAAGGCAACGACGGGUAGCUGGUCUGAGAGGAUAGCCAGCCACACUGGAACUGAGACACGGUCCAGACUCCUACGGGAGGCAGCAGUGGGGAAUCUUGCGCAAUGGGCGAAAGCCUGACGCAGCGACGCCGCGUGGGUGACGAAGGCCUUCGGGUCGUAGAGCCCUGUGGGGAGGGACGAACAAGCAGCAAUGCCCUGACGGUACCUCCUUAGCAAGCACCGGCCAACUCCGUGCCAGCAGCCGCGGUAAGACGGAGGGUGCAAACGUUGUUCGGAAUUACUGGGCGUAAAGCGCGUGUAGGCGGUGCGGUAUGUCGGGUGUGAAAUCCCUCGGCUCAACCGAGUGAACUGCAUUCGAAACUGCCGGACUGGAGUUCGGGAGAGGGAAGUGGAAUUCCCGGUGUAGAGGUGAAAUUCGUAGAUAUCGGGAGGAACACCGGUGGCGAAGGCGGCUUCCUGGACCGAUACUGACGCUGAGACGCGAAAGCGUGGGGAGCAAACAGGAUUAGAUACCCUGGUAGUCC
rnacentral:rRNA from 1 species